rnacentral:misc_RNA from 1 species
ACACCUCAACUCUCAUGGCUUGCCAUGAUGAGCUUGGACUUUGGGGGUCUUGCCGGCCUGUGGUCAGCUCCUCUCAAAUGAAUCAGCUUACCAGUGUUUGGUGGCAUCACAGGUGUGAUAACUAUCUACGCUUGUGGUUUUCCACCAGGUAACCUUCAGUGAUGGAGGUUUGCUGGGGCUCAUAAACGUCUCUCCUCAGUGAGGACAGCUCUUUGAAC